rnacentral:rRNA from 1 species
ACGAACGCUGGCGGCAUGCCUAACACAUGCACGUCGAACGAGACCUUCGGGUCUAGUGGCGCACGGGUGCGUAACGCGUGGGAACCUGCCCUUAGGUUCGGAAUAAUUCCCCGAAAGGGGUGCUAAUACCGGAUAAUGUCUUCGGACCAAAGAUUUAUCGCCUUUGGAUGGGCCCGCGUUGGAUUAGCUAGUUGGUAGGGUAAAAGCCUACCAAGGCGACGAUCCAUAGCUGGUCUGAGAGGAUGAUCAGCCACACUGGGACUGAGACACGGCCCAGACUCCUACGGGAGGCAGCAGUGGGGAAUAUUGGACAAUGGGCGAAAGCCUGAUCCAGCAAUGCCGCGUGAGUGAUGAAGGCCUUAGGGUUGUAAAGCUCUUUUACCCGGGAUGAUAAUGACAGUACCGGGAGAAUAAGCUCCGGCUAACUCCGUG